GUCUUUUUGUAAAUAAUUUAAAGUCUAGCCUGCCCACUGAAAUUUUAAAUGGCCGUGGUAUUUUGACCGUGCUAAGGUAGCAUAAUCAUUAGUUUUCUAAUUAAAAACUGGAAUGAAAGGUUGGAUAAGAAAAUAGCUGUCUCUGUUAAAUUUUAUUAAAAUUUUAUUUUUAAGUUAAAAAGCUUAAUUAAUAUUAAAAGACGAGAAGACCCUAUAGAGUUUAAUUAUUAAUUAAAAGUUAUAUUUUAGUAUUUAUUUAUUUAUUUUAUAUAAUAAUUUAAUUGGGGUGAUUGAAAAAUUUAAUUAACUUUUUUUUAUUUAAUACAUUAAUUUAUGAUUUUAUGAUCCAUUAUUUUUGAUUAUAAGAUAAAAUUACCUUAGGGAUAACAGCGUAAUUUUUUUAAAGAGUUCAUAUUAAAAAAAAAGAUUGCGACCUCGAUGUUGGAUUAAAAAGAAUUCUUGGUGUAGAAGCUAGGAGUAUUAGGUCUGUUCGACCUUUAAAAUUUUAC
rnacentral:rRNA from 1 species